AUUCCUGGAGCCAAAGAGGUUGCAAUUGAAGUGUCUUCUUUCUCUAAAUUUGCUGGCUUCACGGGUGUUCGCCUCGGUUGGACAGUUGUUCCUGAAGAGCUGUGCUUUUCAAACGGUUUUCCUGUGAUAAACGACUUCAAUCGCAUUGUAUGCACUUGCUUCAAUGGAGCAUCAAAUAUAUCUCAGGCUGGUGGAUUGGCAUGCCUUUCCUCAGAGGGUUUCAUGGCUGUUUGUUCUGUGGUUAACUACUACAAGGAGAAUGCAAAAAUUCUACUGGAGACUCUUGCUUCUCUUGGUCUAAAGGUGUAUGGAGGUGAAAAUGCCCCUUAUGUUUGGGUACACUUUCCUGGUUCAAAAUCUUGGGAUGUGUUUGAUUAUAUUCUUGAGAAGACACAUAUUAUAACUGUGCCAGGUUCUGGAUUUGGUCCUGGGGGUGAAGAGUUCCUGAGGAUGAGUACUUUUGGACACAGGGAAACUAUCCUGGAAGCUUCAAAGAGGCUAAAAAAUCUUUUCUCCUAGCAAAAGAAAAACCCUACUGUUUAAGCCACAACCUUCUGUACUAAAUAAAGGAACUCACUCUGCCUGGCCAACAUUUAAAGUGGUUAUUAUUAUUACUAUUAUUUAACCAAUAAGAUCAAUAAGUGUCUUCUCAAAAUGAUAAUGAGAGUGACAAGAAGACCAGGUCUACAACGAAAAGCCCAUGUCUUUGUCUUAUUGACCAAUACUGGAUUCAAGUUAUUCUAUGGUAAUGGAGAGGAAAGCAUCAAGGUUUUUCCCCUUGUCCUUUCUUAAGAAUCUUUACAGCAAAACCCAUUUCCAAAUCGUUGAAUUUUUCAAGUUUUGUCUAUUAAAUCCUAUUGUUUAAUGGGUGUGAUGUGACUACUAUAAGCUUGAGUCUAACAGCUCUUAAAUUAAAUUUUUAUUUACA
rnacentral:misc_RNA from 1 species